AUUGAACGCUGGCGGUAUGCCUUACACAUGCAAGUCGAACGGUAGAGGAGCAAUCCUCGAGAGUGGCGAACGGGUGAGUAAUACAUCGGAACGUGCCCAGUCGUGGGGGAUAACGUAGCGAAAGCUACGCUAAUACCGCAUAUUCUGUGAGCAGGAAAGCAGGGGAUCGCAGGACCUUGCGCUGAUUGAGCGGCCGAUAUCAGAUUAGCUAGUUGGUGGGGUAAAGGCCUACCAAGGCGACGAUCUGUAGCGGGUCUGAGAGGACGAUCAGCCACACUGGGACUGAGACACGGCCCAGACUCCUACGGGAGGCAGCAGUGGGGAAUUUUGGACCAAUGGGGGGCAACCCUGAUCCAGCAACGCCGCGUGAAUGAAGAAGGCCUUAGGGUUGUAAAGUCUUUGUCAGGGAGAAAGGCUUGUGCUAAUAUCACAAGCUGCUGACGGUACCUGAAGAAUAAGCACCGGCUAACUACGUGCCAGCAG
rnacentral:rRNA from 1 species